rnacentral:rRNA from 1 species
UACGUAGGGUGCAAGCGUUAAUCGGAAUUACUGGGCGUAAAGCGUGCGCAGGCGGUUUUGUAAGACAGAGGUGAAAUCCCCGGGCUCAACCUGGGAACUGCCUUUGUGACUGCAAGGCUUGAGUGCGGCAGAGGGGGAUGGAAUUCCGCGUGUAGCAGUGAAAUGCGUAGAUAUGUGGAGGAACACCGAUGGCGAAGGCAGCCCCCUGGGUCAAGACUGACGCUCAUGCACGAAAGCGUGGGGAGCAAACAGG